AAAUAAUAGAAGCUAGAUGGAAAAGCUCAACAAGUUGAAGGCAUUGAAGUGGGCAACUAUGUCUCCUCAAUCAUUAUCCAACUUCAUACGUCAUAAUUGAUAGACAACAAGCACCACAUGAUUUCUUGUCCCAAAUUUCAAUAUUGUUUAUUUAUUUGUCUAUAUUCUAUAACAUGUGAUCAAUUUUUGCAUGACUUUUUGGCUUUUUCAACUUAUUUUCAGGGCAAGAUGGAUUUU
rnacentral:misc_RNA from 1 species